rnacentral:rRNA from 1 species
AUGAAAGGCCUCUUGAAAGGGAGAUUUUUGCCCGCUGAUUAUGACCAGAUCCUAUUUAUCCAAUUUCAAAAUUGUGCUCAAGGAAAUAGGACUGUUUCAGAUUACACGGAGGAGUUUCUAAGGCUACAAGUGAGGUGCAACCUUGCUGAAACUGAAGAGCAACAAGUUGCAAGGUACAUCAAUGGUCUCAAUGAUGCUAUUCAAGAUCGAUUGAUGAUGCAACAAAUCUGGUCCGUUGAUCAAGCACAAGCUCUAGCCUUAAAGGCCGAGAGGUUUGCGAGGAUGAGAAAGACAACUAAGGCUCCAUAUCCUCCAUAUCCUCAUAGCGAAGGCUCAUCUAGGAGGCAACCUAAUAGAGUGGAAUAA